rnacentral:misc_RNA from 1 species
UCUCCGUAGGUGAACCUGCGGAGGGAUCAUUACUGAGUGAGGGUCUCCGGGCCCGACCUCCAACCCUUUGUGAACACAAACCCGUUGCUUCGGGGGCGACCCUGCCGUUUGGCGCGGCGCCCCCGGAGGACACUUAACACUGCAUCAAUGCGUCGGAGUACUUUGUUAAUAAAACAAAACUUUCAACAACGGAUCUCUUGGUUCUGGCAUCGAUGAAGAACGCAGC